GCAAGUCGAACGCGAAAGUUUUUCUUCGGAGAAACGAGUAGAGUGGCGCACGGGUGAGUAACGCGUAAGUAAUCUAUCCUGGCAUCUGGAAUAACCCACCGAAAGGUGAGCUAAUACCGGAUACGUUGAUUUAUCAAGAAAGGUGGCCUCUAUUUAUAAGCUACUGUGCGAGGAGGAGCUUGCGUACCAUUAGCUAGUUGGUAGGGUAAUGGCCUACCAAGGCAACGAUGGUUAGCGGGUCUGAGAGGAUGAUC
rnacentral:rRNA from 1 species